UACGUAGGGUGCAAGCGUUAAUCGGAAUUACUGGGCGUAAAGCGUGCGCAGGCGGUUCUAUAAGACAGAUGUGAAAUCCCCGGGCUCAACCUGGGAACUGCAUUUGUGACUGUAGAGCUGGAGUGCGGCAGAGGGGGAUGGAAUUCCGCGUGUAGCAGUGAAAUGCGUAGAUAUGCGGAGGAACACCGAUGGCGAAGGCAAUCCCCUGGGCCUGCACUGACGCUCAUGCACGAAAGCGUGGGGAGCAAACAGGAUUAGAUACCCUGGUAGUCCACGCCCUAAACGAUGUCAACUGGUUGUUGGGAAGGUUCCUUCUCAGUAACGUAGCUAACGCGUGAAGUUGACCGCCUGGGGAGUACGGCCGCAAGGUUGAA
rnacentral:rRNA from 1 species